UCUUGGAACCACCUGAGAUUUUCCAUUCUAGAUUGCAAGCAAGUGUAUUUGAAUACUGAAUCCUGAGGGCCAUAUGGAUGUCAGCUGGUGGUCAAGACAGGAGGAGAGCUCUGGAGUAAAAUCCUUUUCUGUACAAUAAGCAGGAGCAGCAGAUGUGAUAUGCGCCCCGCCAGGAGAGCCCUGUCUUCCGAGGCCCAGACUGGGGUCAGCUCCAGAGGUCCAACAACUGAAGAGAUUUACCAGCUACCGAAAUAAGAAGCAUCCUUUAGCUGAACGGAGAGAAAUGGGGAAAGCUCUUGGGGAAGAGAGUGUUGUGGAUGUGUUGGAUUCUGGGUACUACUCAUAAUUACUGCUGUAAGCAUUACUCCAGGCAAAUAAAAAAUCAGCUUCUUUUCUAGGAAA